rnacentral:lncRNA from 1 species
GGGUAUUUCCAUGUUUUUAAAGGAACUUUUUGUUCCCAUGGAGUGAAGUCUUCCAGUGUCAUGCUACAGCCAGUUUCGCCAAGGUGCUGAUAGCCUCCUGCAGUGAGGGAGCAUGAGGAGAGAGAAAAACUGAGAGAAACAGAGCAGUCUUCUCAACUGUCAAUAUUUAUUUAAACGUAAUCACGAAAUUUGGCUGUUCCUUGAGUCAUGUGGUGUCUGCCCAUUCUGCAGGGCUGUAACAAAGAAAGGGAUACAGCAGAAAAGGCUGGAAAAUCAGUGAGAAGUUGUGUGCUUUGGUGAUACCUAGAGAGGCUGGCAGAAACCUAGAAGAUGACUAUGGGGUCCUUGAGGAGACAACUGUAGAUAUCCUGAAAUCAAAGAAGCUGAGAAACUCAGAAACUGGUAAGUGAGUCUGAUCCCACAGAGGGAAAGUUGUUAUUGAGUUACUGCCCUGCCAAAAGAAACAAACAAGAAUGGGGUGCAAAAACAUAGAGAAAGAGCUUGGGAGGAAGUAGCAGAAAUGCUCAAGACCUGAAAAAGUUGAUUUGUGUGGGUGAAUUAGGAAUUCAACAGGCAACUUCCAGUUACAGAUUACUCACAUAUGUUGAAUAGUAAAUGUGCCUGGAGAAAAUGGGCAUCCAGAAGCACAG